AACGAACGCUGGCGGCAGGCCUAACACAUGCAAGUCGAGCGAGGACUUCGGUCCUAGCGGCGGACGGGUGAGUAACGCGUGGGAACGUGCCCUUUGCUUCGGAAUAGCCCUGGGAAACUGGGAGUAAUACCGGAUGAGCCCUUUGGGGGAAAGAUUUAUCGGCGAAGGAUCGGCCCGCGUUGGAUUAGGUAGUUGGUGGGGUAAUGGCCUACCAAGCCGACGAUCCAUAGCUGGUUUGAGAGGAUGAUCAGCCACACUGGGACUGAGACACGGCCCAGACCCCCGCGGGAGGCGGCGGGGGGGAUUUUUAGACAAGGGGGAAACCCUUAAUCUACCCGUGCCGUGGGAGAGUGGAGGCCCUGGGGGUUGAAAACCUUUUCCAGCGGGGAAGAUAAGGAGGGCCCCAAAAAAAGAACCCCCGCCUACCCCCUGC
rnacentral:rRNA from 1 species